GGCUGGAUAGCUCAGUCAGUAAAGCAUGAGACUCUUAAUCCCAGGAUCAUCGGUUUGAGCCCCACAUUGGGUG